rnacentral:tRNA from 1 species
AGCCCCGUAGUGUAGUGGCCAAUCAUUUCGGCCUUUGGAGCCGAAGACCCAGGUUCGAAUCCUGGCGGGGCUA